ACGGGUGAGUAACACGUAGGCAACCUGCCCUCAAGUUUGGGACAACUACCGGAAACGGUAGCUAAUACCGAAUAGUUGUUUUCUUCGCCUGAAGGAAACUGGAAAGACGGAGCAAUCUGUCACUUGGGGAUGGGCCUGCGGCGCAUUAGCUAGUUGGUGGGGUAACGGCUCACCAAGGCGACGAUGCGUAGCCGACCUGAGAGGGUGAUCGGCCACACUGGGACUGAGGCACGGCCCAGACUCCUACGGGAGGCAGCAGUAGGGAAUCUUCCGCAAUGGGCGAAAGCCUGACGGAGCAAUGCCGCGUGAGUGAUGAAGGUUUUCGGAUCGUAAAGCUCUGUUGCCAGGGAAGAACGCUUGGGAGAGUAACUGCUCUCAAGGUGACGGUACCUGAGAAGAAAGCCCCGGCUAACUACGUGCCAGCAGCCGCGGUAAUACGUAGGGGGCAAGCGUUGUCCGGAAUUAUUGGGCGUAAAGCGCGCGCAGGCGGUCAUUUAAGUCUGGUGUUUAAUCCCGGGGCUCAACCCCGGAUCGCACUGGAAACUGGGUGACUUGAGUGCAGAAGAGGAGAGUGGAAUUC
rnacentral:rRNA from 1 species